rnacentral:rRNA from 1 species
CAUGCAGUCGAACGAUACUACCGGGCUUGCUCGGUAGGAAAGUGGCGCACGGGUGCGUAACGCGUAUGCAACCUACCUUAAUCAGGGGGAUAGCCCGAAGAAAUUCGGAUUAACACCGCAUAAAAUCACAGUACAGCAUUGUACAAUGAUCAAAUAUUUAUAGGAUUAAGAUGGGCAUGCGUGUCAUUAGUUAGUUGGCGAGGUAACGGCUCACCAAGACCACGAUGACUAGGGGAUCUGAGAGGAUGACCCCCCACACUGGUACUGAGACACGGACCAGACUCCUACGGGAGGCAGCAGUAAGGAAUAUUGGUCAAUGGAGGCAACUCUGAACCAGCCAUGCCGCGUGCAGGAAGACAGCCCUCUGGGUCGUAAACUGCUUUUAUUCGGGAAUAAACCUACUUACGUGUAAGUAGCUGAAUGUACCGAAGGAAUAAGGAUCGGCUAACUCCGUGCCAGCAGCCGCGGUAAUACGGAGGAUCCAAGCGUUAUCCGGAUUUAUUGGGUUUAAAGGGUGCGUAGGCGGCUUAUUAAGUCAGGGGUGAAAGACGGUGGCUCAACCAUCGCAGUGCCCUUGAUACUGAUGAGCUUGAAUACACUAGAGGUAGGCGGAAUGUGACAAGUAGCGGUGAAAUGCAUAGAUAUGUCACAGAACACCGAUUGCGAAGGCAGCUUACUAUGGUGUUAUUGACGCUGAGGCACGAAAGCGUGGGGAUCAAACAGGAUUAGAUACCCUGGUAGUCCACGCCCUAAACGAUGAAUACUCGCUGUUAGCGAUACACAGUUAGCGGCUAAGCGAAAGCGUUAAGUAUUCCACCUGGGGAGUACGCCCGCAAGGGUGAAACUCAAAGGAAUUGACGGGGGCCCGCACAAGCGGAGGAGCAUGUGGUUUAAUUCGAUGAUACGCGAGGAACCUUACCCGGGCUUGAAAGUUAGUGAAUGAUCUAGAGAUAGAUCAGUGAGCAAUCACACGAAACUAGG